GACCUGGUGGUGAAAUGUAUCACAUCCACAUUGCUUGGGAUGUUUGCUGAACAAGGUAUUUGCGGGAAUCCCUGGUUUGAAUCCAGGCCAGGUCA